rnacentral:rRNA from 1 species
UUGCUCCGCUGACGACCGGCGCACGGGUGCGCACCGCGUAUGGAACCUACCUUGUACAGGGGAAUAGCCCAGGGAAACUUGGAUUAAUGCCCCGUGGUACCAUGACCCGGCAUCGGGAUAUGGUUAAAGCCUUCGGGCGGUACAAGAUGGCCAUGCGUCCCAUUAGUUUGUUGGUAAGGUAACGGCUUACCAAGACUACGAUGGGUAGGGGCCCUGAGAGGGGGAUCCCCCACACUGGUACUGAGACACGGACCAGACUCCUACGGGAGGCAGCAGUGAGGAAUAUUGGACAAUGGAGGAGACUCUGAUCCAGCCAUGCCGCGUGCAGGAAGAAUGCCCUAUGGGUAGUAAACUGCUUUUAUACGGGAAGAAAAAGAGCUACGUGUAGCUUACUGACGGUACCGUAAGAAUAAGGACCGGCUAACUCCGUGCCAGCAGCCGCGGUAAUACGGAGGGUCCGAGCGUUAUCCGGAAUUAUUGGGUUUAAAGGGUCCGUAGGCGGGCCGAUAAGUCAGGGGUGAAAGUCUGCCGCUCAACGGUAGAACUGCCUUUGAUACUGUCGGUCUUGAGUUAUAGUGAAGUUGCCGGAAUAUGUAGUGUAGCGGUGAAAUGCAUAGAUAUUACAUAGAACACCGAUUGCGAAGGCAGGUGACUAACUAUAUACUGACGCUGAUGGACGAAAGCGUGGGGAGCGAACAGGAUUAGAUACCCUGGUAGUCCACGCCGUAAACGAUGGAUACUAGCUGUCCGGAACCUUGAGUUCUGGGCGGCCAAGCGAAAGUGAUAAGUAUCCCACCUGGGGAGUACGUUCGCAAGAAUGAAACUCAAAGGAAUUGACGGGGGCCCGCACAAGCGGUGGAGCAUGUGGUUUAAUUCGAUGAUACGCGAGGAACCUUACCAGGGCUUAAAUGCAUAUUGACAGGUCUAGAGAUAGAUUUUCCUUCGGGCAAUUUGCAAGGUGCUGCAUGGUUGUCGUCAGCUCGUGCCGUGAGGUGUCAGGUUAAGUCCUAUAACGAGCGCAACCCCUACCGUUAGUUGCCAGCAUGUCAUGAUGGGGACUCUAACGGGACUGCCGGUGCAAACCGUGAGGAAGGGUGGGGAUGACGUCAAAUCAUCACGGCCCUUACGUCCUGGGCCACACACGUGCUACAAUGGCAGGUACAGAGAGCAGCCAUGUCGCAAGGCAGAGCGAAUCUAUAAAACCUGUCACAGUUCGGAUCGGGGUCUGCAACUCGACCCCGUGAAGCUGGAAUCGCUAGUAAUCGGAUAUCAGCCAUGAUCCGGUGAAUACGUUCCCGGGCCUUGUACACACCGCCCGUCAAGCCAUGGAAGCCGGGAGUGC